UACGUAGGGGGCAAGCGUUGUCCGGAAUCACUGGGCGUAAAGCGCGCGCAGGCGGCUGUCUACGUCCGGGGUGAAAGCCCAGAGCUCAACUCUGGGACUGCCUUGGAUACGGGAUGGCUUGAGGAUCGGAGAGGCAAGGGGAAUUCCACGUGUAGCGGUGAAAUGCGUAGAGAUGUGGAGGAACACCUGUGGCGAAGGCGCCUUGCUGGCCGAUUUCUGACGCUGAGGCGCGAAAGCGUGGGGAGCAAACAGGAUUAGAUACCCUGGUAGUCCACGCCGUAAACGAUGAGUGCUAGGUGUUGGGGGGUACCACCCUCAGUGCCGAAGCUAACGCAUUAAGCACUCCGCCUGGGGAGUACGGUCGCAAGACUGAA
rnacentral:rRNA from 1 species